rnacentral:rRNA from 1 species
GUAGGUGGCAAGCGUUGUCCGGAAUUAUUGGGCGUAAAGCGCGCUCAGGCGGUUCUUUAAGUCUGAUGUGAAAGCCCACGGCUCAACCGUGGAGGGUCAUUGGAAACUGGAGAACUUGAGUACAGAAGAGGAAAGCGGAAUUCCACGUGUAGCGGUGAAAUGCGUAGAGAUGUGGAGGAACACCAGUGGCGAAGGCGGCUUUCUGGUCUGUAACUGACGCUGAGGCGCGAAAGCGUGGGGAGCAAACAGGAUUAGAUACCCUGGUAGUCCACGCCGUAAACGAUGAGUGCUAAGUGUUAGGGGGUUUCCGCCCCCCUUAGUGCUGCAGCUAACGCAUUAAGCACUCCGCCUGGGAGUACGGCCGCAAGGCUG